GAUGCCUACGGGACGCAGCAGUGAGGAAUAUUGGUCAAUGGGCGCGAGCCUGAACCAGCCAAGUCGCGUGAGGGAAGACGGUCCUAUGGAUUGUAAACCUCUUUUGUCGGGGAGCAAAAGACGCCACGUGUGCCCAGGCGGAGAGUACCCGGAGAAAAAGCAUCGGCUAACUCCGUGCCAGCAGCCGCGGUAAUACGGAGGAUGCGAGCGUUAUCCGGAUUUAUUGGGUUUAAAGGGUGCGCAGGCGGGCUGUUAAG
rnacentral:rRNA from 1 species